UACGUAGGGGGCAAGCGUUAUCCGGAAUUAUUGGGCGUAAAGAGCUCGUAGGCGGUUUGUCGCGUCUGCCGUGAAAGUCCGGGGCUCAACUCCGGAUCUGCGGUGGGUACGGGCAGACUAGAGUGAUGUAGGGGAGACUGGAAUUCCUGGUGUAGCGGUGAAAUGCGCAGAUAUCAGGAGGAACACCGAUGGCGAAGGCAGGUCUCUGGGCAUUAACUGACGCUGAGGAGCGAAAGCAUGGGGAGCAAACAGG
rnacentral:rRNA from 1 species